rnacentral:rRNA from 1 species
UAAGCAUAUCAAUAAGCGGAGGAAAAGAAACUAACAAGGAUUCCCCUAGUAACUGCGAGUGAACCGGGAAAAGCUCAAAUUUAAAAUCUGGCAGCCUUGGCUGUCCGAGUUGUAAUCUGGAGAAGCGUCUUCCGCGCUGGACCGUGUACAAGUCUCCUGGAACGGAGCGUCAUAGAGGGUGAGAAUCCCGUCUUUGACACGGACUACCAGUGCUCUGUGAUGCGCUCUCAAAGAGUCGAGUUGUUUGGGAAUGCAGCUCAAAAUGGGUGGUAAACUCCAUCUAAAGCUAAAUAUUGGCGAGAGACCGAUAGCGAACAAGUACCGUGAGGGAAAGAUGAAAAGCACUUUGGAAAGAGAGUUAAACAGUACGUGAAAUUGCUGAAAGGGAAACGCUUGAAGUCAGUCGCGUUUGCUAGGACUCAGCCUUGCCUCGGCUUGGUGCAUUUCCUAGUAGACGGGCCAGCAUCACUUUUGACUGCGGGAGAAAGGUUGGAGGAAUGUGGCACCUUCGGGUGUGUUAUAGCCUCUAGCUGUAUGCCGUGGUUGGGAGUGAGGAACUCAGCACGCCGCAAGGCGGGGCUUCGGCCACCUUCGUGCUUAGGAUGCUGGCGUAAUGGCUUUAAACGACCC